rnacentral:rRNA from 1 species
AGUGAACGCUGGCGGUAGGCCUAACACAUGCAAGUCGAACGGCAGCACAGUAAGAGCUUGCUCUUACGGGUGGCGAGUGGCGGACGGGUGAGGAAUACAUCGGAAUCUACUUUUUCGUGGGGGAUAACGUAGGGAAACUUACGCUAAUACCGCAUACGACCUACGGGUGAAAGCAGGGGAUCUUCGGACCUUGCGCGAUUGAAUGAGACGGUGUCGGAUUAGCUAGUUGGCGGGGUAAAGGCCCACCAAGGCGACGAUCCGUAGCUGGGCUGAGAGGAUGACAAGCCAGACUGGGACGGGGACAACGAACAGACGGCUACGGGAGGGAGCAGCAAGGAAGUGUCGGCAAUGGGCGCAAGCAGGACCGAGCAACGCCGCGUGCAGGAAGACGGCCGUCGGGGGGGAAACGGCUGUUGCUAGGGAGGAUAACAGACAGUACCUGGCGAAUCAGACCCGGCUAACUCGGUG